UGGAUAACCAACCUUUAGGUCAGUUGAUAUCAAGACAUUCAAGUUUAUUGAUGGAACGGAAUUCUUCCAACUCCUCCUCCAGGAAAUGCAGAAAUAGAAGAACGUUUUGUCCAUGAUAACAACGAUCCUGUUAGAGUUUCUUUCUCUCUUCUUGAUGUAUUACUUCUAGAUUUGUAAGUUGUGCCAGGAUGAAACAAUUUUCUGAGGUUGCUGUAUUAUACAUUGUUAAGACAUUAAUUAGUUUCCAAUUGUUUAAAUACUUCUGCUCUUUUCAUAUUCAGACUUGAGCUUUCUUGGAACUAAGCUUGUAUUUUAUGCUGGGAUGGUUCUUCCUGUUCAAUACACAAUUUGUUAACUUCCUGUGCCA